UUGCAGUCGAAGGACGGUAUCAGUUGGUGGCCCUCAAGGACCGUUAAGGUGGAUUGUCAACCGCCAAUCCACCCCGCAGAAGAAGAAGAAGGACGGAAGGAGAAAAUUUGAGGCGGCACGGUGGUUCAGCUGGUAAAGCGUUGGCCUCGCAGUUCUGAGGACCUGGGUUCGAUCCCGGCACCGCCUGUGUGGAGUUUGCAUGUCCUCCCGUUUUCCACAUCCCGAAAAGAUGCACUGUCAGUCUAAAUCCUCCGAAACGGCAAAUAUGGGGAACCGCGCUUUGAAAACGACUUCCGGCGAAUGACCCGAAAUGCCCCCGUUAAAGCGCUGAACGUGUCUUUUGGACUCUGACACGGGUGCCCGUCCUGCAUUUGAAGCGCCGGCGCCGAUUUGUCCACUUCU